rnacentral:rRNA from 1 species
GACGAACGCUGGCGGCGUGCUUAACACAUGCAAGUCGAACGAAAAGACGGAAAGAGCUUGCUCUUUUCAGAAUUGAGUGGCAAACGGGUGAGUAACACGUAAACAACCUGCCUUCAGGAUGGGGACAACAGACGGAAACGACUGCUAAUACCGAAUAAGUUCCAAGAGCCGCAUGGCCCAUGGAAGAAAAGGUGGCCUCUACCUGUAAGCUAUCGCCUGAAGAGGGGUUUGCGUCUGAUUAGCUGGUUGGAGGGGUAACGGCCCACCAAGGCGACGAUCAGUAGCCGGUCUGAGAGGAUGAACGGCCACACUGGAACUGAGACACGGUCCAGACUUCUACGGGAGGCAGCAGUGGGGAAUCUUCCGCAAUGGGCGAAAGCCUGACGGAGCAACGCCGCGUGAGUGAUGACGGCCUUCGGGUUGUAAAACUCUGUGAUCCGGGACGAAAAGGCAGAGUGCGAAGAACAAACUGCAUUGACGGUACCGGAAAAGCAAGCCACGGCU